rnacentral:rRNA from 1 species
AUUGAACGCUGGCGGCAUGCCUUACACAUGCAAGUCGAACGGUAACAGGCCGCACGGUGCUGACGAGUGGCGAACGGGUGAGUAAUGCAUCGGAACGUGCCCAGUCGUGGGGGAUAACUGCUCGAAAGAGCAGCUAAUACCGCAUACGACCUGAGGGUGAAAGCGGGGGACAGAAAGGCCUCGCGCGAUUGGAGCGGCAGAUGUCAGAUUAGGUAGUUGGUGGGGUAAAGGCCUACCAAGCCGACGAUCUGUAGUUGGUCUGAGAGGACGACCAACCACACUGGGACUGUGACACGGCCCAGACUCCUACGGGAGGCAGCAGUGGGGAAUUUUGGACAAUGGGGGCAACCCUGAUCCAGAAAUGCCGCGUGCAGGAAGAAGGCCUUCGGGUUGUAAACUGCUUUUGUCAGGGAAGAAAUCCUGUGGGUUAAUACCUCGUGGGGAUGACGGUACCUGAAGAAUAAGCACCGGCUAACUACGUGCCAGCCGCCGCGGUAAAAC